rnacentral:rRNA from 1 species
GUGAGCGAGGUGGCGGGUCCGCCCGUACCCUAAACCGACACUGGUGGAUAGGUAGAGUAUACCGAGGCGAUCGAGUGAAUCGUGGUGAAGGAACUCGGCAAAAUGCCCCCGUAACUUUGGGAUAAGGGGGACCUGAGCUGUCGUGCACCCGUGCGGUGUGGUGGCGGUGAGGGGCGCAGAGUCCAGGGGGAAACGACUGUUUACCAAAAACACAGGUCCGUGCGAAGUCGUAAGACGAUGUAUACGGACUGACUCCUGCCCGGUGCUGGAAGGUUAAGGGGAACUGUGAGUGUAUGCGUAGCGGUGAACUUAAGCCCCAGUAAACGGCGGUGGUAACUAUAACCAUCCUAAGGUAGCGAAAUUCCUUGUCGGGUAAGUUCCGACCUGCACGAAUGGCGUAACGACUUCUCUGCUGUCUCGACCACAGGCCCGGUGAAAUUGCAUUACGAGUAAAGAUGCUCGUUACGCGCGGCAGGACGAAAAGACCCCGGGACCUUCACUAUAGCUUGGUAUUGGUGUUUGGUUCGGUUUGUGUAGGAUAGGUGGGAGACUGUGAAGCUAUCACGCUAGUGGUGGUGGAGUCGUUGUUGAAAUACCACUCUGAUCGGAUUGAGCAUCUAACCUUGGCCCAUGAUCUGGGUUGGGGACAGUGCCUGGUGGGUAGUUUAACUGGGGCGGUUGCCUCCCAAAAUGUAACGGAGGCGCCCAAAGGUUCCCUCAGCCUGGUUGGCAAUCAGGUGGUGAGUGUAAGUGCACAAGGGAGCUUGACUGUGAGACAGACAUGUCGAGCAGGGACGAAAGUCGGGACUAGUGAUCCGGCACCUACUUGUGGAUGUGGUGUCGCUCAACGGAUAAAAGGUACCCCGGGGAUAACAGGCUGAUCUUCCCCAAGAGUCCAUAUCGACGGGAUGGUUUGGCACCUCGAUGUCGGCAGAUCGGAAGAGCG